UUUAAUUAAUAUUAAUAUUUUUAAUUUUAAGUUAUUAAAUGUUAAAUCAUUAAAUUUAAAAGAUUUGGCGGUAUUUUAAAUAAUUAGAGGAACCUGUGUAAUAAUUGAUGAUCCACGAUAAGAAUAACUUAUUUAUUAAAGUUUAUGUAUUGCUGUUAUUAGAUUAUUAUUAAUUAAAUUUUUAAAUAAUUAUAUUUAAUUUAAUUCAAGUCAAAAUAUAGUUUAUUUAAGAUUAAUAUGGGUUACAAUUUUUUUUGUAAUUGAAUAAAUUAUAUUUAAUUUAAUUUUGAAAUAGGAUUUAAUAGUAAAUUUAAUAAAUUAAUUAAUUUGAAAAUUAAAAUAAAAUAAGU
rnacentral:rRNA from 1 species